ACAAAAAUGGCAAAAUAAAAUUAUAAUAAAGUUUCGAUUAAAAUCUAAGAAAUCUGAAUAUCUCACUCGAAUCGAUCGAAUUAUUCAUUCAUAUAAUUCACAAAUUCAUAUGAAAUUUAUUCAUAACCUCAAAAAGUCAGUUUCAUCGAUAAAGGAAAUCGUAAACCCUAGAUUCCACUAACCGAUUGAAUGCUGAUCGGAAAAUGGGGAGAAAAAAAUAUUAUAGAUUUAUCUUGUCGAUUGAGCAUUUUUAAAAUAUAUUAUGAUAGCAGAGAAUUAAGGUAUUACGUAUCUAAAUCACAAUUUAUCAUAUUUUUAAGAAUUAUUAAGAAUUAUUAAUUAAAACAAAUAAUAUGAACAGAUAAGUAUAAUAAAAUUUUAACAAUCUUAAUAAUUUAUUUAAAUGAAACAAUUUAUCACAUUUUUUCAUAAAUGAAACCUAACUUAAAUUUGAAUAAUUUUUUUUAAUACAAAGAAAUUUACAAUUAAAUUAUUCUCUUUACAUUUUAUAUAUAAAUACUUUCUUCAAUAUGUUUUAUAGUUCCGAACAUUUAUGCAGCAACGUAUCUCACAAAGAGAACAAAUAAAAAGAAAUUUAUCAAUUACACGCGAUUUCUCGACACCAGUGGAAAGUCCCAUUCUCCCAUUCUAUCGAGAAAAAGGAAAUGAGUCGCUAUUCUUCAGUCACGAUAAUUAGCCAAAGGAAAAGAAAACGACGAAGAAAAAGAGAACCAAGUGUCGGAGGCGAGUUGUCCGCUUCACUCGGCUUUCUUUCAAAGUUCCGAAACUCAUCGUGCAAAUAAAGGAAAGGGCCACGUCGAGGACGAAGGCCACCGUUACAUAUUCAUCUUUUAAAGCGGCACUUUUCAAAGCAUCACUUUACGAACCACCCAACUGCGUUACAGGAGAGAAAGCUCAUUCCCUACAUAGUGUCGCGAAACGCCUCUUUUAUCCCUCUUUACAUUGCGUCCAUGACGACUAUCGACUACACGUGUACUCGUCAAUAUUUUCCCUUUUUAUUAUUAAUCUGCCUCGUUCGCCCUCACUCACUCGUCUUUUCUUAACAUAAUGUAUAUACAGAAUGUAUUUUAUGAUAUACGUCAUAAUAUUGUGAUAUAGGAAUUUUGUUGUUUAUUAAAUAAGAAGGAAUUAAGAAAUUAAGGAUAUUGUAACGUAGAUAAGAAAGUCUUCGAUUGACUUUUUGAUUGAAGAGUUCAAAUUCUGUUCAUUCUCAUUUUUUUUUCUUUAAGUAAAUAUAUGUGUUAAUAUAAUAUAAUAUAUAUGAGAUACUUUUGGAGGAUCGAUUCUGGAGGCCAAGGUUAGUAUAUAGAAAUAUCGAUUAAGGGUUAUUUAUUAAGUUAUAAGCAAUUUAAGUUUGCAAUAGAUGAAGCAACGCGGUGUUGUGAUAAAGAUAAAACUGUUUCAAUCUAUCUUCGUCUCUUCGUUUAUAACGUAAUAAAUAAUCGAUAUUUUUUCAUAA